rnacentral:rRNA from 1 species
CAUUCCCUAGUAGCGGCGAGCGAGCGGGAAGAGCUCAAAUUUAUAAUCUGGCACCUUCGGUGUCCGAGUUGUAAUCUCUAGAAGUGUUUUCCGCGUUGGACCGCACACAAGUCUGUUGGAAUACAGCGGCAUAGUGGUGAAACCCCCGUAUAUGGUGCGGACGCCCAGCGCUUUGUGAUACACUUUCAAUGAGUCGAGUUGUUUGGGAAUGCAGCUCAAAUUGGGUGGUAAAUUCCAUCUAAAGCUAAAUAUUGGCGAGAGACCGAUAGCGAACAAGUACCGUGAGGGAAAGAUGAAAAGCACUUUGGAAAGAGAGUUAACAGUACGUGAAAUUGUUGGAAGGGAAACGCUUGAAGUCAGACUUGCUUGCCGGAGCUUGCUUCGGUUUGCAGGCCAGCAUCAGUUUUCCGGGGUGGAUAAUGACGGUUUGAAGGUAGCAGUCUCGGCUGUGUUAUAGCUUUCCGUUGGAUACAUCCUGGGGGACUGAGGAACGCAGCGUGCUUUUUGCGAAAGACUCGUCUUUUUCACGCUUAGGAUGCUGGUGGAAUGGCUUUAAACGACCCGUCUUGAACCACGGGACC